rnacentral:lncRNA from 1 species
UUCAUUUCAACUUUUUCUAUCUAUUGAAACGGUCCUCAACAGCUCUAAAAAUAUCGUGCUUCAAAUUUGAAUUACUGGAUGCCGGAGACUGGGGGGAGCUUUUUGGUAUUCGUUGCCUUUAUGUGCUCUGAUUGGUUACUUUUUGGGUACAUGCCCCCGAGGCCCAAUGAACGAAGGAUGCAAAUUUUAAAUAAUUUAUUUUACUCUGUUCGAAUUAUAUAAUUUAAAAC